UAAUCUUAACGCCGUAAGAAAUUCGACGCCGAAAAAGUUCAAUCUGUUUCAACUUUUUCGGCGUCGUCGACGGCGUUGACAUUAACUCCAGCAUAACAAGGGAAAUCACCAAAUUAAAAAUGCUUAUAAAAACAGAAAAAGUUUCUGUCACUCUGUCAGUACCCUAAGCAUAGACGCUCUAAAUUGUUCUGGUAUCUUUUCAUCGCGAAGUCGGAGAAGGCGAGCAAAGUCAAACAAUUUAUUUUCAAUGCUUCCCGCUCUGACGAAAAAUAUAAAUGGUCACAUUAUGCAUACACCUUAUAAAUACACGUUGUAGUUUAUUGGCCUGUUCCAGAACUGCAAGAAUGUAAAACUUUACUACGACAUCCCAUUUUCCCUUUAUGAUAUCAAAAAAAUGCAAAACCCGUAGACUUUGCAGGUUCUGUUGGAUCAGAGCAUAUAUUAUGGUACAAUAUGGACAAGACAAGAAAAUAAAAAAAAAUUGAAAUCGUUGGAAGCUUUGCCCUUUCUUGAUUUCAAUGUAGUAUGGUUCCAUUCAAGGAUUAUCUGCUAGGUAGUGUGGUCAUGCCAAGUGUUUUUUUAACCAUAAAUAUGAAAUUGCAAAAAUUUUUACAAAAGUACAGAACAUAUGUCAGCACACAUGCGAAUCUUAACACUUCCCUAAAGUCCGAAUAAGAAAUUGGCAAUGCAGUUAAAAUAUUUACUUCAAUAGUCAACACCACUAAAUUUCCUAAGCCAGAAAAUAAUCCCUACAAGCCAUCGACCAUUCGAAAACACCUGUUUUGAAAAAGGAAAGCCACAAGAGAAUGACAGAAACACCGCUCCUCUUGGCUAAAAGAAUGUGAAAAACUUCUAAAGCAAGCACGAAGAGCGAAACUUAAAAAUAUUCUUAAAUAACCUGGAACCCACAGAGAUAACUGACUACAGCUUAUGGAAAGCCACAAAAAACUUGAAAAUAUCUAUCGCCCACGGAUCUUCAAUUCGCCUAAAAAAUGGUACUUGGGCAAAAACUACAGAAGAAACAGUAAACACAUUUGAUAAUAAACAUAAUUUGAUAAACACAUACAUUUUGACGUGAUAAUUGAUAAAUGUUCUUCUAUUAAAUUGGAAUACAAAGUCGUAUUAUAUAAGACAGUAAUAAAGCCAAUUUGGACUUAUGGCAUACAACUCUGUGGCAUAGCUAGUGCCUCUAACUUCUUGUAUGAUCAACGUUUUUCGUCGCCCACUGUUAUACUUCUACAGUAGUAUGGUAAAAUGGAGGCCGUUUCUGUGAAGUAAUUAUUAUUGUAGUCCGCGAGAUGAUUAUAUUUAACUGUAUGUAAGAAAGCAACAUUAUAUCCGUAAGACUAUUUCCGUAGUCCGCGAAUCACUCUAAACUAAUCUAAUCACUAAUCACAUCUAAACUAAUAUGAAUAACCUACUCACAAAAAACACAUCUAUAUCUUGAAAAAAAAAAAAUAAUAAUAAAAAUUAGAUCAUGAAAAAUAUAGGGUAAUUGUAUUGACAACCCCUCUAUAAAAAAUAAUA